AUACAGGGGGUGCGAGCGUUAAUCGGAAUUACUAGGCGUAAAGAGUACGUAGGCGGUUGCUUAAGUCAGAUGUGAAAGCCCCGGGCUCAACCUGGGAACUGCAUUUGAAACUGAGUGACUAGAGUUUAAGAGAGGGGAGUAGAAUUCCGGGUGUAGCGGUGAAAUGCGUAGAGAUCCGGAGGAAUACCAGUGGCGAAGGCGGCUCCCUGGCUUAAAACUGACGCUGAGGUACGAAAGCGUGGGUAGCAAACAGGAUUAGAAACCCUAGUAGUCC
rnacentral:rRNA from 1 species